rnacentral:tRNA from 1 species
GGGUGCUUAGCUCAGCGGUAGAGCGUCUCCUUUACACGGAGAGGGGGAACACGCCGGCACUGCCGGCCCCUACAA